GUGUAUUCGUUAAUGUGAAUUAUAUUCAAACUGUUGUGUCUUUCCUUUUUACGUGUUGUAGAGGUUUCUUUGAAGAGGGAUAAAGUGCAAAAAAAGAAAAGAAAAAAAUCAUAAUACAGACCGGAAAGAGAAGAAUAUAAAUUUUAGUUGUAUAUCAAAAACUGUGGACCAGAGAUCUCUCCUCGAAGACAAACGGGGUUCAUUUUAAGAAAAGGCGAAUCAUUAGGGUUUAAAAAACAAUUUAUUUUGAGACUUUCGGGGUCAGAAAUAAAAGGCGUAUCAUUGAAUUUUCAGUUUUUAAAUACUAAUUUUUAGUUUAUUAGUUGAAAUUUCCCAUAAAGCGCAUAACGGAGAAGAUUAAAGUUGGAUUGGUUUAGCCGUCCCAAUACACCGUCCCUGAUGACACAUUCUCCGAAAUACCCCUUCCCGUUAAGUGAAUACACGCGUUUGCCAUUUAUUGUAGAAUACCAU
rnacentral:lncRNA from 1 species